GAAUGGGAAUAAAUAAUGACCUUUUGCUAACAAGAAUUGACAUCUCAGCUUUCAACUUUUGCUAUAUCAUAACCACCUAAAUCAACCUCAAGUCUUGUAUAAAAAUAUUUUUGCUCUUAUAUUUUGGCACCCAGAAAAUUUAUAGUCUUUAAAAUAGUUGAAGUCCAUACCUUGGAAAUCCACAAAAUCCAACAAAAAUGAAGUGAAAGUUAAUGGAAAGUAGCCCAACACAUGAAUUGAAAUAUAUACAAGUCACCUACAGAUCUGUAAAUUUCCCUCUAUAGCCUAUUUCAGAAACUAGCCACUGGUGUUUUGACCUGUCAAACUCAAACUUUGGGAAAUGAAGUAAUCCAAAGUUAACCUUAGCUCUUCUCUUCCUUACCAGAGGUCUGCCAUAUAUAUUUGGCUUUCUAUUUUUGCUGACAAUAUAAAAGAACAUUGGAAAAGCAUUUCACUUACUCCAAACAAACACAGAAUUAUUGUUUUUUUUUUUGCCCUUUACUCACUAUAUCUUUUUACCACUCUGUCCUGUCAUAUGCUGCUUUUGGAGAUGGGCUGUCAUGGAUAUUCUCAGUGGCUUUUGCAAGCUUCAGAAGUAGAACUGAAGUGAGUUAGACUGAGCUGUAAUAUACUGUAAUUCUUUAUAUUAUGCCUUAAAGAGAGUUUAAUUUUUCUGAAUUAGUGCUCUGUAAGAGAUGCUAGUCAGAGUCUUAAAUGUACAUUAAAUAGUUUUUUUUUUUUG